rnacentral:tRNA from 2 species
UGGGGGGUGGUGUAACGGCAGCACAACGGCCUUUGGCGCCGUUAGUCGGGGUUCGAAUCCCUGCCCCCCAG